AAAACCCUGUUUUUGCUUCAUUUGCCGCAGUUGGAAGAAAUCGACGGCCAUAAAUUGCGCUGCUAGGCUACCUGCUUCGUGACGACGCCACGAGGUGGGGGGUGCUAUCCGAAAUAGCCGAGUUUUAUUCUAUGUCUAAGUUUCAUUUGUAUUGACCAUAUUUCAUCAUGCAUUGAGUAGUGAGAAGCCUAUGAGUUUGGGGUAAAUUCAUGCUUAGUGUGAGGGUUGAUGAUCCAUGAUUUGCAUGAUACUUGUAGGUAUAUCUAUUUGCAUGAUUUGAGAUAGAUGUGUAUAUGUAUGAUAUAUGAGAACCAUAGAUGCACUUAUUGUAUGAUGCCAAAAUAGUUUUAUAUAUGCAUGUUUCAUGAGAUACUAGUGGACAUAUGCAUGUGAAUAUGAUGUAAGAAUAGACUAGAUUCAUGAGGAACUAGUUAUAUAAACCUAUGGCAUUAUGCGAAUUAGAAAAUAUGGCAUAUGUGGCCGAGUGUGUGAGUAUUGCAUGCCUUGUGAUGGAAAGGAAUGUGGGAUUCCCGUGAUCCUCGAGUGGGAGGACUAUGAUCAUACUCGCGUCGUCUGUAUCUUUUGGCUUGUAGAUGGUCGCGCCUCCCAAGCGGUGAGCUCCGGAGUUGUAUCACGGUGAGAUAGUGUAGCAUACCGGAUUUUUUUUAUUAAAUGUGAAUAUAAAUAAAAAUAAUGUGAGAUACUAUUUUUCUUAGACUUAUAGAAGUAAAAUAUAAGUCGGGAUCGACUCGUGCGGAAAUCGGAGUGAGAAUAGAAGAUUUUGAAUUUUUUGUGUGAAUCAAGGCUGUUAUUUUAGCAGAAAAUGCACAGUGUAAGAAAAUUUCGAAAAUUUGGAAAAAUGUUAGGAUUAUUUUUAUGAGGCUAGAUUUAAAGUUUCAUGACUUUCUGACACCAGGAAGGUGGAAAAUUAAAUCCGACUGCUAUCUGAUAAAGAUUACUGUUCGAUAUAGUUUUCGGUGACCAAACGGGGUCGAAACUGAAAGAUUAAAAUUUUUUUCAUUAAGUAAGGUAAAACUGAUCAUGAAUGUCAAAUUUGAGCUCAAUCGGACGUUCAGAAGGGCAGACGAAAAAUAUCUGUACCUGAGCUACAAUCUGAUGUGAAUAGUAUUUUGGGAGUAUAUAUAUGUGAACUUGCACUCUUUUUUUUCUCAUUUGUGCCCAACCCGAGAGAGGCUUGGAGGGCAAGUUUCUUUUCUCUUUUUCUCUCUUUCUCUCUAGUUCUCACCCCUCACUCCUUUUCUCUUCUAAUCUCUCCACAAAAGAGGAUUAAUUGGAGAAGAAGUUAGAGUAGAAUCCAUGAAAGUUGGAGAGUACCUUGGAGCUCAAGCUUUCAUCUUCUUCCUCUCUAUUAGAGAAAGCUUUGGAGGUAAGCUUUGGUAGCUACUAUGGUAGAUUGCUAAGGAAUGAUUUGUAGGCUCUAAAAUUGGAUUUAGAGGAAUCCUUAGGUGCUAAAUAGAUGCUAUUUGCUUGAAUCAUGAAUCAAUUUGGUGAUUUCUUGCAAUAGUAGCAUGUUAAGGCUCAAAUUGGGGUUUUGCUAUGUAUGAGGGUUUGAUCUAAAUUGAGCCUGUAUAAACCUAAUUGCUAGGUUUUCUGACGCGCUGGCGAAGUCGGUUCGGCGAUACGACGAGGCUACGCGAAGAUAUUAAAGAAAAGGCCGAUUUCGGUACAGAUUGCCGCAACUUGCGGCGUAAGCUUCCAAAAAUCACGAAACCGGAAUCGUAGCAUCGUGACAUCACCUAAAGUCUUGGAGCUAAGAGAGUCGAGGGCACGAAGGGUCGCGUGGAGCUCUCGGUGGGUUUGACCUCGCUACAAAUGAGAAAAUCUCAUUUAUGUGGAUUUAAGUAUCGUAAAAUGGAAAAUCAUGUAUUUUCAUGAAAGAUGCAUUAUUUGUGAAUUUUAGAAUGCUUGAAAUGUUUAUGUUAUAUACAAUGUAUUUUCGGACCUCUAUGUAGUAGAGAACUUGUAUGUGAGACUUAUGCAUGGGUUUAGCAUUCUAAUUGGGACUUGGAAUCAUACUCCAUAUAGUAGACAUGACAAAUGUAAUAUGCCUUGGACAUAAAUCUCAUUUGAACAUAGGAGAAUACAUUAGGCCAUAAAGUGGCUUUGGACUUGAAUAACUUGUGAGUUAGGGAGCUAAUGUCGUAACGCGACAUCCGGCUUGAGCUAUGAAUGAGCCUAGUAAAGUAAUGCCAUAGAGAGGCAUUAGACAUGAAUGAUAUGUGAAUUGCAUGUGCAUAUUAAUAUUAUGAGAACUAUGCUAAGUUGAUAGUUACAUACGGACAUGUUGAAACCAUAUGCUAGUGGAUAGAUGCAUGUUAAUAUUUAUAUGCAUUGUAGAAUACAUCUUAGGUACAUAUUAGCAAUGUGAGAUCAUGCUAGAGAGCAUGCGUAUUAACCUAUUACUGAUAGGGUAAGCUAAUGUCAUAAAGCGAUAUUGAGCUUGGGACAUGUAUAAACCUAGUAAAUAAUGCCAUAAAGAGGCAUGAAAAUUGGAACAUGUUUGGAUAUAGUAAUGUUUUAGUGCCCUAAAGAGGCACUAGAUAUUGUGAAUGUUGGAACUUCAUUUGGGGAUAUUAAACUAGACCUAUGAGUUGCUAGCGAUCAUUUCCAUGGUUGAGCCAUGAUGGCCGGAUCGUUGUGACGAUGACUAUGCUUGCUCGCUCGUGCGGUAUUGAGAAGCCUACGGGGGCCUGGAGGGUUAGACUCAUUCCUCGAGGGGGAAUGUUGGGGCUACCACUGGCACUUAGACGGCACAAGUCGGCACUCCGGAGUUAGCCUACGUGACUUAUACUCGCUCGUGCGGUAUUGAGAAGCCUACAGGGGCCUGGAGGGUUAGACUCAUUCCUCGAGGGGGAAUGCUGGAGCUACCACUGGCACUUAGGCGGCUCAAGCCUGACUACACUUGUGUAGGUCCUAAACAAGAUUGAACAAUGACAUUAAACCGGUGUAUGACAAUCACUACUCGAUAGACUUAGUAGUUGGUUUACUUGAACAUGCUUUUAGCAUAGUAAUGGACAUUAGGACAUAUACUAUUGUUUUCGCAUAAUAGUAUACUUGGUGGUCAUGAUAAAGCAUAUUAAUCAUGUAUUGGUAUAUUGGAUUAUGAUGGGGUAGAUGUACACUAUGUUGACAUCAUGUGAUAUUGCGGCAUUGUAAAUUAGCAUUUCAUUACAUGCUUUUCCUAUUUACAGUUUACUAGUAGUUCCUUUAUCUACUUAUGCUUUUGGGUCUAGUGGUGCAUUUGGCUAUGGUCAGUAAUUGCCCACUGGGAACUAUAAAUUAUAGUUCUCACGCCUCCCCUGUUUUAUGUUUUCUUUCAGAGCCUUCCACCCCGGGAGAGGCUCGGGAUCGCGGAAAAGGAAUCGCCUCGAGUUAGCUAGCGAGGAAUUCGACGAUAGGUGGUCUACCUCUCUUCUGAGUUUUGUUUGGAGAGGUUGAGAGACUUGUACCAUUUUUGUAGAGACCACCCCCUAUAUGUAGCUUGAGACUUAUGAUGUAUUAUUUUUACGUUUUGCCUUGGUGGUUUAGUUUCCCUUGUUUCUACCUGUUGUUGGAACCUAGCUGUAUACUUGCUCUGAUAUCUUUAGAUACACUCUAUUUAUUGUUCAUUUAUUCGCUAUUAUUGUAGACGUCUUAUAUGUGUAGGCAUAUGGCGGGUCUGGACACGCACCGGGCGGGCCUAGGCCGGGUCCCGGGGCGUGACAGAUUAGUUUGGUAUCAGAGCCUAGGGUUGAGUCUUAGGGGACCUAGCAAACCUUAGGCUGGUUGGACUAUAGGAAAUAGGCUCGUGAGAGAUGAGGUCUAUUUGACAUGUAAGCGAAAGUAUCUCGAUUGGGUAUCUUGGAACAGCUCUAGAAAGUGAAGUUAAAUUGAAGUGUAUAGCCUCUAACUUCGCGGAGGGUUACGUUUGCCGCCGACAACGUAACAUCGGGAGUUAGUAGUAAAGGACACUUCCUUACUUUCGCAUGAUUUGGGUAUUGGUUAGUUGAGCGGGGUUGCGAUAGCGUGAGUUUUAUUAACUUACGCUUUUAUAAUGUUGUAGUGAUAAUGCCGAUUACACGCUCUAAGUCUGUUGGAGCGGACAACGCAGCAACUUUUGAGGAAAUGGAAACAUUCUCUACCUCCGGAUCCGGCGAGGACCGUGAGUUGAGGAGCCAGCUUGCGGCCCUCACCGAUUUAGUUACCCAGCAGGCGUCGGCGGCUCAGCAGCAGGCAGAUGCGGCGCACCAGCCGGAGGCGCGAAUGAAGUGCCUGGAGGAUCUUCUACUGCAGCAAGCGGCUGCCAGGGAGGUUCAGGUCCCUACACCACCCGCGCCGGUGGAGGUUGUUGCACCCAGGGGGUCGUCCCCUGUGCUCGACACUUCCUGGGCGGCACUGACGGUGGCACCUCGGGAAGAGGUUAUUGCGGCACCGCGAGCUCAGGUGCCGUUGGCAGGGUCAGUUUUUCCCGUGAUGGUUGAGGGAGCGGAGCGGGAACGGUUCAUGGAUCGCCUCAAUGAGUUUAGGAGGUGUAGCCCCCGGAUCUUCGAUGGAGAGCGAGCCGACCAUUGGAUCGUAGAGAAGUGGUUGAUGCAUAUGGAGAAGUUAUUCCGCGACACCUUCGUGGAAGAAAGAGAUAGAGUUUGGCUCGCCACUCAUCACCUGGAUGGCGAGGCCUAUAGUUGGUGGUUGGAUAUCCAAGAUAACCCCAACACCGACCUUGCAGCGAUUUCUUGGAAAAGGUUCAAGGAACUCUUGUUGGAGCACUACUUCCCCGUCAGCGUUAAGAGGAAGAUGGAGCAGGAUCUGCACGAGAUGCGCCAGGGGGAUCGGACUGCGGCUGAGUACGAGAGGGAGUUCUCUCGGCUUCUACACUGUGUGCCCUUUGUUGUGCGGGACGACGAGGACAAGGCCCGCAUCUUCGAGCGAGGACUUCGGCCUUCGAUCUUUCGGUUGGUGCAAUCCUCCAACCUCCAGACCUAUCGAGAUGUGGUGAACCGCGCGCUCAUUGUGGAGGGCGGCGCGGCGGAAUUGCAGGAGCGCCGUGAGGGCUUAGAUAAAGAUAAGGGCAAGAGGCCCACGGCUGAGGGUGCGGAUCAAACGCACUCUGGGAGGCCGCCGAGACAUCCCAGGAGCCGGAGCCAGUCGCGAGGACGUGGCUCAUCUGCAUUGCAUGGAGGAUCUGAUCAUCGCCAGGCUCCGAGCUGCGUGAUCUGUAGUGGUCGUCAUUACUCGUGGCAGUGCUCGCAGAGUCGGGGCAGGUGCUACCUGUGUUGCCAGGAGGGUCACUUCCAGUCGGACUGCCCGAGGGGUCCAGUUCCAGGGCCGUCAUCAGCAUCGGCACCAGCUUCACCGGGUCCCAGUUGAGGGACGACUUCUGCUCACUAUCAGGCCGGGCGGCCACCUGUCCAGAGACAGACGGAGGGGUCACGACAAGUCCCGAGCGGGUGCAUGUAUGCGGCCCAAACUAAGAAGGCGGCAGCAGCCGAGUUUGUGGCUGCAGGUACCAUUAUAUUAUUAUGGCAUUCGAGUUUAUGCAUUUUAUGAUUGAGAUGUUUGCAUCAAUUGCAUACCUUGAUCGGCUGUUUGCCGAAUUGUUUAGCAUUGAUCCUUUUCCGAUGCAUGAUCGGAUAAUCGGAUGUGUCGUCUUGAAUACCCUACCUUGUGAGAGGAUUUUGUGCGCUAACAAAUGGAUUGGCCUUACUUGGUGUGGAGUAGUUGUGGGGUACCUUGUACCUUUGAUCUUGCGAGCUAACUUGACUCGCCUUGGGAAUUUGAGCACGAAAUAGUGCAUUUUGAGGAUUUAUUUUCGCUAGUUGUGUUGACUAUCCCCUUACCUAAAAUCGGGUAAUUACUGGGGAGGAUUAGUAUUUGUGGCUCGUUAGAGCAUGUCGUGUAGGAUAACGACGUCGGGUGUUGCUUGGGGGACGACCCGUGCCUGGACCAUUUGUGGACUGUGGAGCCUGGGCCCUUGGGGCAGGCGCAGUCAGCUGUGAGUGACAGUGGCUCGAUACCUGCGGGUAGGGGAAAAGAUUUUGGUAAGGACGGUAGUUCGAGCUUAGACCUGGGAGCAUAGAAUGCCACGUGUUGGAUCUUGGAUAGCCAUGUGGAAUUAGAGCACUCACGAUGGAGCGAUGCACCUGUGAUAUUGCUUCUAAGCAAUGCCGGUGAUCAAAUCGCAGUGUGUUCUCUUGGGAGAAGUAUGCUAAUGUCCUUAAUGGCUCGAUAGGUCGAGUUGAGAUGUGAUUGAAGUUUCGAGGACGAAACUCUUUUAAGGGAUGGAGAAUAUAGCAUACCGGAUUUUUUUUAUUAAAUGUGAAUAUAAAUAAAAACAGUGUGAGAUACUAUUUUUAUUGGACUUAUAGAAGUAAAAUAUAAGUCGGGAUCGACUCGUGCGGAAAUCGGAGUGAGAAUAGAAGAUUUUGAAUUUUCUGUGUGAAUCGAGGCUGUUAUUUUAGCAGAAAAUGCACAGUGUCAGAAAAUUCCGAAAAUUUGGAAAAAUGUUAGGAUUAUUUUUAUGAGGCUAGAUUUAAAGUUUCAUGACUUUCUAACACCCGGAAGUUGGGAAAUUAAAUUCGAAUGCUAUCUGAUAAAGAUUACUGUUCGAUAUAGCUUUCGGUGACCAAACGGGGUCGAAACUGAAAGAUUAAAAUUUCUUUCAUUAAGUAAGGUUAAACUGAUCGUGACUGCCAAAUUUGAGCUCAAUCGGACGUUCAGAAGGGCAGACGAAAAAUAUC
rnacentral:lncRNA from 1 species